rnacentral:tRNA from 2 species
GGUCAGAUAGCUCAGUUGGUAGAGCACGGCCCUGAAAAGGCCGGUGUCCCCGGUUCGAGCCCGGGUCUGACCAC